UACAGAGGUCUCAAGCGUUGUCCGGAAUUAUUGGCGUAAAGAGCUCGUAGGCGGUUUGUCGCGUCUGCUGUGAAAACCUAAGGCUCAACCUUGGGCUUGCAGUGGGUACGGGCAGACUAGAGUGGCGGUAGGGGUGACUGGAAUUCCUGGGUGAUAGCGGUGGAAUGCGGCAGAUAUCAGGAGGAACACCCGAGUGGCGAAAGGCAGG
rnacentral:rRNA from 1 species